rnacentral:misc_RNA from 1 species
UCCCUUCUCUCAGUAAUGUGAAUUGCAGAAUUCCGUGAAUCAUCGAAUCUUUGAACGCACCUUGCGCUCCUUGGUAUUCCUUGGAGCAUGCCUGUUUGAGUAUCAUGAAAUCUUCAAAGUAAAUCUUUUGUUAACUCAAUUGGUUUCUACUUUGGUAUUGGAGGUCUUUGCAGCUUCACACCUGCUCCUCUUUGUUCAUUAGCUGGAUCUCAGUGUUAUGCUUGGUUCCACUCGGCGUGAUAAGUUAUCUAUCGCUGAGGACACUGUAAAAGGUGGCCAAGGUAAAUGCAGAUGAACCGCUUCUAAUAGUCCAUUGACUUGGACAAUACUUUUAUGAUCUGAUCUCAAAUCAGGUAGGACUACCCGCUGAACUUAAGC